rnacentral:snoRNA from 1 species
CCCCCCCAGAUUCCUUAUCCCUGGACCUAGAUAUUGGUCUGAGUGGCUGAAAAUAAAAAGGAGGAAUAGUAAAACUGAGAGGGACUUGGACUUGGAGUCUUCAGUAACAAACAAUUUCAUCUCAAAAUGAA